UUCAAUACAAUUCAAUUUGGAUAUAUGGUCGAUAACCAUAUUUUUGCACACAGUUACAUAUAUCUACAUUAUUUUUGUUUUUUUAUGAUGAUAAUGCAUAUAUCAAGGAGGUGGUAAAAUAGAAAAUAAAUUGAUGAAAGAUUGGAGUGGUGAAACUCCUUCUCACAGAUAAAGAAAAUGUAGCCUCCAAAAAGUAUAUUUCUCCCCCAUUUGACAUUACUAAAAGACAUGCAAAGCACAUAGAUCACAUUAUUCAUUUUGAGUAAGGGAGUAUGGAGAAAGAGAAGAAACAUUUAACAGAUUAAUUCAUGCAUGAUUGAUUCAAGAUUUCUUAUUUAG
rnacentral:lncRNA from 1 species